AAGGCCGGAGGAAAGGGAGAAAGAUGAGGGUGAGUCAGGAUGCAGUGAUCUGCGUAAGGGUGCCUUCUGAUCUUCGCACAUGCAGGAGGAGUAGAGAAAUGUACACAGGACUGAAGAUUUGUUUCAUUUACUUUCCUGGUUCUUCUUGUGAUGGCGGGUGUGUCCAGCCUCAUAGUUUCCAGUGAGGUCAUGACCAUCAUUUCUUCUGAAGACACAACUACAAUUACUGAAGACGUCUUCAUUGGGAAAUGCCAGAAGACGUCAUAACCAUUCGCUUCUUUGAGGGUCUUGGUUAUAAAUGAGAAGAAAAGGAUACAUUAAGAGAAGAAUGACAAAAAUCAUUUCUGGUGUUCAGGAGAUUGAUCCAUGGAUAUUGGGGACUGCUAUCUGGUUUGGGAGUAUGGAAGAAGUCAUGCUUCAUUUGCCACUGAGAAAGUAUAAACCAUUAAUUAGUUAUCAUGUUUUCCAGUGUCAAAAUAAUAGUGAUAACCAGUUUCACUUCAUUCUUGCUUUUAUUCUUUGUCUCAUAAAGGAGAAAAAUUUCACUUCUUUGCACAGGAGAAAAGAGAAUUGAACUUGUUUAUCAUAUUAUGCAGAUAGGUGAGGUAAGAUAAGAAAUCAAGCCAGGCUACUCACUCCCAUAAUUUCUUCUGUUUGAAUCCAUUUCUCCACAGUGGAGGUGCUAGGAAAGAGUUUAUGCUCAUUUUUAAUCCUUCUUAUGGCCCUUCAUUUUAUUUUGUUACAUUCAUAUAUGUAGUUAUUUAUUCAAUGUCUAUGAUUCCGAAUGAAUACUCCUCAGCAUUUGGAAGAGAAAGAACCUAUCAUCUUAUUCACCAACGCAGUCC
rnacentral:lncRNA from 1 species